rnacentral:misc_RNA from 1 species
AACAAGGCGUACCUGCGGACCUGCGGAAGGAUCAUUACGAGAGUGUCACCACUCCCAACCCAUUGUUUACCUACCCGUCCACCGUGCUUCGGCAGGCAGCCCUGUGGGACAGAGCCUCGCCCCCCUCCGCGGGGGGGUGCCUGCCGCUGGCCAACCAACAACUCUAGCUGUUUUAGUACCAUCUGAGUCUUCCACAAAUGAACAAAACUUUUAACAAUGGAUCUCAGAUCGGAAGAGCAC